rnacentral:rRNA from 1 species
GAUGAACGCUGGCGGCGUGCCUAAUACAUGCAAGUCGAGCGAACAGACGAGGAGCUUGCUCCUCUGACGUUAGCGGCGGACGGGUGAGUAACACGUGGAUAACCUACCUAUAAGACUGGGAUAACUUCGGGAAACCGGAGCUAAUACCGGAUAAUAUAUUGAACCGCAUGGUUCAAUAGUGAAAGACGGUUUUGCUGUAACUUAUAGAUGGAUCCGCGCCGCAUUAGCUAGUUGGUAAGGUAACGGCUUACCAAGGCAACGAUGCGUAGCCGACCUGAGAGGGUGAUCGGCCACACUGGAACUGAGACACGGUCCAGACCCCUACGGGAGGCAGCAGUAGGGAAUCUUCCGCAAUGGGCGAAAGCCUGACGGAGCAACGCCGCGUGAGUGAUGAAGGUCUUCGGAUCGUAAAACUCUGUUAUUAGGGAAGAACAAAUGUGUAAGUAACUAUGCACGUCUUGACGGUACCUAAUCAGAAAGCCACGGCUAACUACGUG